rnacentral:lncRNA from 1 species
GGGCGCGGGCCGGCCGCCGCGCGGUGCGCUCGCCGUGCUCUGUGCGGCUCGCCGGGCCGCCCGCCAGAGGGUGCCCCCCACCCCCAUGAAGUCGGAUCCUUGAGCUGCGGCGGCGGCAGCCAACUGCUCCAUAUUUGGCUUCUAUUACACAUUUACAUACUGGAGCGAGCGAGCGAGCGAGCGCGAGAGAGCGCGAGGGAGGGAGGGCGGGCGGGCGGAGGGAGGAGGGAGGGGAGGGGAGCGGGAGGAGGGGGAGGAGGAGGAGGAGGAGGAGGAGAGAGCAGAGUAUACCGCAGACAUCAUUUCUACUACAGUGGCGGAGCCGUACAGGACCUGUUUCACUGCAGGGGGAUCCAAAACAAGCCCCGUGGAGCAGCAGCCAGAGCAACAGCAGCCGCAAGACAUUGUUUCUCUCCCUCUGCCCCCCCUUCCCCACGCAACCCCAGAUCCAUUUACACUUUACAGAGCAUCGUGCAUCAAGUCACCAGGGUGGUCCAUUCAAGCUGCAGAUUUAUUUGUCAUCCUUGUACAACAGUCUCCUUCUCCACUGCCACUACAGGGAAGUGCAUCACAUGUCAGGUCACAGAACAGAAAGUGCUGGUGGACAUCUCUUCUUGCCCUAAGAUCUUCGUUGGAAGUCCCCGGGACUUGGUGUCUUUGCCGUUCAAAGUGUUUAUGAACUUGCCAGGAGGCAUAAUGUGUCACCAUUUUAUUCUGGGCCACCCUAAAGGAUGA